AGUGAUGGGUGAAUGGCCGACCGGCGCACUGGCACCAAAUGCAAAUUUUCAUCAUGGUUGGACUGCAAGAACAGAAAAAGGCAACCAUAAGAUGAGAGUGAAUAAUCUGUUGUUGAUAAUAUCUAUAUAUGCAAUUAAAGAGGAAUAUCUUUUGUUGUAAAAGGGCCAACUUUUUAUUUUGCUUUCCAAUCGGCUUGUGUGGUGCUCAGAAUGCAAGUAUUGUCAUCCUUUUCAAGCUGUCAUCUGCUUCAGUUUCUUUAUAUAAUGUUGUUUUUGAAAUUGCAGUUCAACAAAUUUCCAGUAGGAGUUUUCUAGGAGUGUCAUAUUUUGGCUUAUGGUUAAGAAAUUUUAUCAACUAGAACUAUAUUGUGAGCUGCUUCCCUCUACAAGGUAUGUCUAGCAUGUGUAAUGAUAAAUAUUAUAUGAGAAUUUUGCAAAAAAUGCUCUCUUUAUUUUUCUUUUUGCUAAUUCAGGCUAUUGUUUUUUAAAAAAAAUCAAAUUUCAGAAUUUUUUGACACCUCAUACUUCUGUGCAUGAAAAUGCUCCAACCAUUCAAUGUAAAAAAAAUGUGUCCGAUACCUGAUGAAUAUGUGCAUUGAGUAAAAGGGUUUUCAGGAUUGGUGUUGUUUGGAAAUGUUGUACUGGUUAUAAUGGCCAUUAUUACAUCAGUUGCCAACAAUAUAGUAAAUUAAUGAUGGUUAAGGUUAAACCUUAACCUAAACCAACAUUUCUAUCUUCUUUGACCUAAAGCUAAUCUCGCCCUGGGUUGAGAUUUUUCUAAUUCAACAGACUGAUCUUAAGCUAGAUAAAAAUUGGGUUUGGUUGGAGUAGGAUUUUUAAGCCCCAGUCUAACCGAUCCAACCCGACUGUUCUUAAUGAGCAGGUUGGACAAGGAGUUUUGGUUGAGCCCAAUGCAAGUUUCGUCUAAUAUUUGCUUGGUUCCAAAUAUUUCUCAAAUUUAAUAGACUAAUUAACUAUCAAAAAAAUAAUUAAUAGGCAAAUUUUGUUUCAAAUAUUCAAUAACUAAAAAGAAAUUUCAAAGAAUUUUUGGAGAGAAAGCUAUAAUUUUUUUUGACCACUAACAUUUUUCCUUCCGAGAGAGAGAGAGAGAGUGAUCGAUCGAAGACGAUCCCCCCCCCCUCCAAAACCCCAACCCCAACUCCAACCCCAACAACAACAACAACAACAACAAAAAAUCCCUCAUAGAUAACUAAAAGUUAUAUCAGCUAAACAACAAUAAAUUCUGGAUCUUGUCUUCUUUUUUGUUUCCCUUUCUUCUUUUGUUAUGAGAAACUAAAUUAUUUUUCUUUCGCAUUCUCAACAAUAAUUAGACACUAAAAGUAAAGAGAACUACGUGAGAAAAAUGGGUUGAUAGUAUAAUACAUGAAAAAUGGAGGACUUCCAACUAAGCACUUACAAUUAUCAGCCGAAGAUGUUUAUUCAAGUUAAAAUAAAUAAAGUACAAGUAUAUUGUUUUCAACAAAUAUAGGUCAUGACAUCUUAAUGGCAAAAAUGAGGCAUAUGUGAUUUCUUGGCAUGUGCAAUGCACAUGAGUUGAUGCAUGAGUCAAUGUGAUUCCUCCAUUCAAUUUAUAAUAGAUUUAUUUUCCAGAGAUAGCUAAACAUAUCCUUACUUUUAAUAAUUUAAUUUGAGGAUAAAAGUUAAGCCUUGGUUUAAAAUCCAUGCACAAAGACUGGCUCAAAUUCCAGGUCAGGGUUGGGUCCAAAUCAAGUUGGAUCCCAGUUAACCACACCACGUACAUUCUCACCGGGGGUGAUUAUAACCUGAUAGUUGCGUUAAAAGCCGUCUGCGUUUCCGAGAGAGAGAGAGAGAGAGAGAGAUGGCGAUCGCGAGCAGAUUACGAGCUCGCGGAGUUCUUUCGAGAUGCGAGUCGAGUAAUCUUCGAUGUCUACUUCGGCCCUUUUUGAAUCGAGGGUUCUCCUCGAGUUCCAUUCCUUCCCACCUAGAGGCGAGUGAUCUUUUCUUGUUUCCUGUAUUAUUCUUAAUUUGUGUUCUGCUUUUAACGGAUCAAAGUCUGUAAAAAUUUGGUUGAUGCUUGAAUUGGUUGAAAUUUAUAUGAUAACAUCUUGCAAUAAGAGUACAUACCUGUCUUUUUUUAUAAAAAAAAACAUGUUAAUUUGACAGAAAAUAGUUAAUUUUUAGUGGGUUUGAUCAGUUUCAUAAACCAUCUAUGUCCGAAUCGAAGUGGAAGUGGAAAUAUAGAUUGAAAGUUUAGGAUGAUGAAUCGAAGAAUCUGAGAAAAAUAGUUCCUUUGAGGAAAUUAAGCAGCUAAUUUGAAAAGGUUAUUGAAUUUUCUGGAUAAUCUAUUUAUCAGUAAAUAAAGCUGAUCACUGUGCGAGUCAAAGCUGGUGGUUUUGAUGAUGAUAGUAUAGAUUGAGCAUUAGGCUUAAUAUGUGAACUAUUAAAGCCUAAAUCGAAGUUGAAAAUGUAAAAUUGCUGUUUAUGUAGUUCUCUUACCAUCCAGUAUGAGUUUUUGAUCUUGUGGGAGAGUAUACUGCAAGGACACGGAUGAGGUGAAAACCAAAUUAGUGUGACUAAGUAUGAAAAGCUCUAAAUUAGUGUGACUAAGUAUGAAAAGCUCUCACCCUCAUUACAUUUUUCCUUUGGGUAGUCUACUCAGUGCAUUGCCACUUAUAUGAUUUCCAUGGAGAGUAUUAUGUGAACGAAUAGGUUAUUUGUCUGCACUGUAGUUUAGUAAUGAAUCUACAACCAUCAAAUAUAAACUAAACUAAAACACAACGAUUUUUUUUCUUAAAGUUAGCGAGUAUUUAAUCAUAGUUAUUCUAAAAGGUAUUUUUCAUGGUCUGUAGCACCGGUCCGUACCUGUCGGUACGGGCUGGUACGUACCGGUCCGGCCUGGGACCGGUACCGGAUCAACGUGGAAUCCGGUACCAGUAGUUUAUUGUUGGAGAACCGGUACGGGACCGGUUCAGACCGGUACGGGACCGGUACGGACCGGUCCGGGCCGCCACCGGUACGCCGACCGGUACCGGUACGGCGGACCUUACUACUUUCUUUAUUUGUUUUAGAGAUAUGAUUAUUUUCCAUUGAACAAUAUUUGGAUUACUUUUUUCUUGUCUUUCUAUUACCUAUUGAUAUGUUGCAGAGGGUUGGAUUCAUUGGACUUGGAAAUAUGGGUUUCCAUAUGGCAAGUAAUCUGAUAACUGCUGGAUACAAAAUCACUGUUCAUGACAUGUAAAUCUCUCUUGUUCUAUUCUAUUCUAUUCUAUUCUAUAUUCAUGAUUAUUUCUUUUUUACUUCUGAUAUUAUUUCAUUUAUUUGUUAAGUUGUACGCAAUAUACUGUAGCAUUUUCUGUUUCUUUAUAAUCUUUAGUUUUAUGUUUGUUUCUGGUUUCCAGCUAGGAACUAAAAUUGUACAGAGAAUCAAAACUCUCUUAAUUGAGCUGACUCUCGUGUUCAUAAUUCUAAUUUUACUAUUAAUGACUCUAUAGUUGUAUGAUUAUUAUUAGCCUAGUUUAGUCUGUGAAUUUUCAUUUAUUACUUUUUGAGUUUAUUGGAUCAUACAAAAUCUGAGACAUUGGAUGAUUUCUAGUAAUUAUGAUGCCCUGAAAAAGUUCUCGGAUAAAGGAAUUCCUACAAAAGAAACUCCUUGUGAAGUUGCAGAGUCAAGUGAUGUCAUAAUUACAAUGCUACCUUCUUCCUCCAAUGUAAGUCAUUGAUGUUCCAUUCUGUUCACAUAUUUUUCUAUCUUUUCUUAAUAUUGUGUUUUAACCUUUAAAAUUCUUAAUCUCAUUAUCGAACCAACUCUAUGCACAUCCAUUUUUUUGCUUAUUGCCUUUUAGUUUGCCUAUUUUGCUAAAUGAAAUACGCAAGGCCUGCAAAGAAAGCCAAAAUUCCACUUGCACUGCAUCUUAGCAUAGAUGCUAAUUACUUUUACUUUGUUAAAACCACCCAAUGAGUUUUUUGCAUGCCAAAUUUGAGAACUUACCUGUUGCAUAAGCAGGAGUCAUUUGCUCAUAUUAAUAUUAUUAUAACUGAGGAAUUCAUCAAACAUAAUGUACAGGGGAAUAUUUUAGGUUGCCACUCAUACACUGAUUAUAUACCUUUAAAGAAGCCAAUGGCAUGAAAAUUAAGGGCUCUCUGAAUUUUAUCAUGUAGGAUGGUGAUAGUUCUGUCAGAAGUACUUCGAUUUCAUGCUUUGGUAUAUUGUCUCUGACACAGUGAUUGCAUGUUCCUCUGUACCCAUUUGCCUUCUCAAUUCCCCAUUUUGUUGAAGCUUUUUCGUGUCUUUCUUGUGCUGACUAAAAAGACUUCCCUGCUGAUACAUUGGCAUCUUGUACUUCUAUGUUGGACUACAGUCUAUAUAGAUAUUUAUACCACUCUAUUGGAGCUACCUUCCCUUCUCCAUAAAUCUCCUUUGAAUUUUAAGUAUCUGGAGAGCUCUAUUAUUUAUAAUAAGAGUACAGUUGGAUAAGUGUAACCAAAGUUUGCUUUUCAAAGCAUCGUUCAUGUGCAUUUGGAUAUUAAGCAAGGCAUUUGGUCUUAGUUAUCAUUGUGUAGGAAUUAUUGAAUUAUGGUUUUGAACACAUUCCAGAACCUUAAUCCAGUUUCUGCACUUAUUCACAUUUCGUGUGCAUUUGGAUAUUAAGCAAGGUACUUGGUAAUAGUUAUCAUUAUGUAGGGAUUACUGAAUUAUAGUUUUGAAAACAUUCCGGAACCAUUAUCCAGUUUCUGCACCUAUUCACAUUUCCUGUACCUUUGGAUUGUGAGAAUUGAUAUUUGUUCAGUAUCAUAACCAUGGAAUGCCGUACCGGCCCGUACCAGUACGUACCGGUCCGGUCUUAGACCGGUACCGGAACGACAAAAAAACGGGUAUUUUCCGGUUUUUUAUCCGAACCGGCCGGUACGGGCCGUACCGGCCGGUUCGGAGCCUGUACCGGCCUGGUUCGCACCGGUACGAUUAUUUUUUUUUCGCGCUGUAGUUUUUGAAACCACCGCGUACCGUACCGGUACCGGCCGGUAUGUACCGGACCGGUACCGUACCGGUCCGGCCGGCCACCGGUACGCCGACCGGUACCGGUACGGCGGACCUUGAUCAUAACUGUUGGCAUCAUUACGUAGGGAUUACAGAAUUGAUAUUCCAUUUCGUGUUAUUAUCCAUUUUGGAGUAAGAAGAAGAAGAAGAAGAAGAAGAUUGUUAUUGUAGAUUGAAAAGGACUUCCUACAUGUUAACAGAAACCAGUCAGAGUACAAGAAGACGAGAUGUGAUGUUUUCUUUAAGUUUGAAUUUAUUUUCUUUACUAUGAUUGUAUAUCUGCAGAUUUUCUUGUUUUACUAGCUUGGCGUCAUUGCACUCCUUCACAAAUGGCAUAAAUCACAGGCAUGGCAAGGAUUAAAAGACCUUAUUUAAUAACAUAAUGUUUAAGAAAAUGUUUUGUCAAGAUAAUAUGUGGCUUUUCCGAUACUUAAUGCUGUCUGAAAUUUGCAUCCAGACAGAUUUCUAUAUAGCUGAUUGCAUAGAGAUAUAAGUCGCUACAUUAACCUCUAGUUGAUUCAGAUCUUUGACUAAUGUUAUGUGGGUUUCUUCACUGUAGUGUUCAAUGGAAGUAGCUUUGACAUUCUGGAACCAUUUUGCAGGUUUUGGAUGUCUAUACCGGACAAAAUGGCUUGCUACAUUGCAGGAGUCAUCUAAGCCCAUGGUUGUUUAUAGACGCUUCAACAAUUGAUCCACAAACUUCAAGAAUUCUUUCCACAAACAUCUCAAAAUGUCUUCUAAAAGAAAAGAAAGGUUCUGUUCAAGCUGAGGUCUUUUAAUUUCAUGCAUACAUGAUUCUUGGAUAUCUGACCUAUACGGCUCUGCCAUCAUCUCUUUGAGUGAUUUUGUUUAUCUGUCUUUUAAUUUCAUCCAUACAUGAUUCUUGGAAUCUGAUCUGUACCAUCAUCUCUUUGAAUUGAAUUAGAAGCAUUAACAUUGGGUGUGCAAAAAAAAGACUCUUUCCUUUGACAGCUGUGUUGUUUGACAAUCAUAUUACGGUCCUCCGACUUAACUGAACAUAUCAUGCUCUGAAGAAUAUGAUAGCUUUCCUGAAUGCCAACUAAGCCUGCCUUUAUAUGGUAACUCUUGCAAUUCUGUACAUUAGAAGUAGAUGAGAAUUGUUACAUGGAGAUGGAUGUUAGGACUCAGAUCUAACAUAUCUGCAGGAUAUUCUUUGAGGACCCAUUCUUACAAAACUCUGUUAUUUAAAUAGAUAAAUUUGAUGAUAUGACGAUGAUGAAAUCACAUUGUAUCUUAAUAAAAGAAAUGUGAAAAGUGAGGAAAGGAAAGAGAAGAUGGACCACUUCAAGAGGAUCUGGACCUCCUAAUAACCACUUUAAGGAUUGUUAUUUCCCAUUAAUACAUAUAUUUCUUUAUUUUUUCUCCAAAAAAGGCUAGAUAGUUCUUUUAGAUAGAGAUUCUUGACCCUUCUAAAUAUAGAAACUAGAGAUAUGACAUCCUAGACAAUUUGCACAAACCAUAUUUCAAGCAUAUGGAAUCCUAUCUAUCCAUAUCACAACUUUAUGGAACAUCCUACUGAAAUCCCGUAUUAUCAGAAAUCAAAAAUACACCAUAAGAGAAGAAAAUUCUGGGAUAACAAUGAUCUUUCUUAGAAUGAAAAUAAUAUUUCGGUCAUGUAAUAGUCUGUGUUUUCUUUUGGAAGACCUAAGCAAUGGAUCUUAUGUUUUGUUGAGCAGCGACACAAUCUAAAAUGAAAAAUAAUUCACUAAUGCUUUUAGUUUUUGCCAACUUAUUGGCUUACAAAAUUUGGUAUAUUGCUCAAGAAAUCACAUAUUUCUAGCUAAUUAGUGCUGCUAUUCCUUCAUUAUAUUGAGUUUGAUGUGCUAGUAGAUGCGAAACAAUCAUUAUGUUAUUCCUCCAUUAUGUUGGGCUUGAUGCCCCUACCAUAUGGCUAACAAUCAUACCAUGAUGAGUUGGGCACACUGUUUAUCGCUUAUCAUAUGUAAAUCUAGGUAGUAUAUGAAUGAACAAGAAACACUGGUGGUAGGGUGGUGAUCUUCUAAAGAUUGCCAAUAUUACCAUCAACGCAUAGUGAUUUUGGUCGAGUCCAAAAUGAGUUGUUGUAAUAAUGUUGAUAGUCAUGUACAAGCUUUUAGGUGCACCUAAAGGAAAAACAUGGAUACAAUUAGCAAGCUAGAUGAGCCCCAAUAUCUAGGUAGUCAAACCAACUUGUCACUUGAUUCAAUUAUCUAAAUCGAGUGAUUUUUAAAUUGCUUCAAGUAAGACAGUGGUAUUAAAUUAUUGUCACUUGUUAUGGCUUCAGCACUUGAGCAACUAGAGAGCUUCUGGUUUCAGAAAAUACUUUAACACUCAGCUAAAAAAUGCCAGGAAUGACUAUUAUCAUGUUGCUCUUACUUCAUGAGGUUGUGAAGAUGUAUGGUUGGAUCUGAGAUGAAAUCCGGAAUCACAUGUUGGAUGGAUAAAUGAAAUGAUCUUUCAUGAAAAUAAUGGCUAACCUAAAAGGCCAUAUAGGCAAUUUUUAAGUCAAUCUGGUUAUAUAUUCUAUUCAGUCAAAAAUACUUUUUUCAUUUCUUUAUUAUUACUAGCCAUUAACCUGAUGUUAUUGUUCAGGGUUUGCAGACAAUCCACUCAUGUUGGAUGCUCCUGUAUCUGGAGGCGUUCCUGCUGCAGAAGCAGGGACCCUUACUUUUAUGGUACUGCCUUGUGCUCCUCAUUAAUUACAAUAAUUAUUUGGGAGUCACAUAAUGAUAAUUUGGAGGACCAUUAGUUUGAACGGUGUGGAAAUCCAGUUGAGGAUCCUCUCUCACACAUAUACCUGUAUAUAUUUUAUUGACAUGUAGAUACAUGAUUAUGUCCUGACCUGUAAACAAAUCCAAUUUUGUGUUGUAUAGGUUGGUGGCUUAGAGGAGGCAUAUCUGACUGCAAAGCCCUUGUUUCUCUCAAUGGGUAAACAGACAAUCUACUGUGGCAGUUCUGGCAAUGGUGCUGUAAGUUUACUUCUCUUUCUAAUUUCCUAAAUUCCUUUCUGCUGAAUGCCCAUGCCUAUCUCUACUUGUAUGCAAAAAAUAGAAUGUUUGUACUGGGUUGAAAACUAAUUUAAGAACAAUCUCAAAGAGGCAUCCUACUCAUUGUACAACUUUGUUGUAGUGACUGAAAUAUGUGUUAAGAAUGAGGAGCACUAUCUUAUUUCAUUCAAGAGAACUAUCUUACAUUCUCCACCUGCACAGAUGAUUAAAAUUUUCUUUUCAAAGCCAAAUUCCUUGACAAUUAAUUUAGCUAUGGAAAAACUUGAAAGUGGUGUUAGUAUAACUCCAACUAUGAGUUAAUUAUUUUGGUUUGAAGUAUGGUAUGGGCCGGUUCAGCCCUUACUGAACCGGUACGGUUCCGCCAUGAAAACCGGUACGCACUGGAGCCGAGGAAGAAAGGGAGAAAUAGUGAGCGAGCGGGAGCGGGAAGGAGAAGCAGCCACCGCGGACGCCUGUGGAGGGCCGUGGGGGCGUGGCGGAGGCUAUGGCUGCGGAAAAAAAUUUGGAAAUUUUUAAGUGAAGUCGGCAAACCACUUACCGACUUCAUUUAAAAAUUUAAAAAUUUUUUUGCGCAGCCCCCCCCCCCCCGGCCCUCCGCGGCUCUCCUUCUCCCUCUCUCCCCUGCUCGCUCGUUGUUUCUCUUCUCCUUCUCCGGCUCCGGCUGGGCUCUGCCCGUACGGGCCCGAUACCGGGACGGUACCGAACGAGCUGAACCGGUCUGGUCGCCGACCGGUACGGCUUCCGGUACUGGUUCAGCAUUACUCUGGUUUGAAGUACUGGAAAUGUGAAAGUUUGUGUCCCACAUGUGAGGAAAUUGAUUUUUGAAAAAAAGGGGCAAUUGAAACAUAGAAAACCGAGCUUAACUUCACGGAACAUGCAUAAAUUUUGGAAGCCCCAACUGGUGCUUUUGUAUUCAUAAACUAGAACUUUUAAGUAUCCCCUAUAUCAUAUGAGUAAGCAGCUAGAAUAAUUGCAAUAUUUUCUUUGGUCUAAUGGCAUGUCAUUUUCCUGUUAAUUGCUUGGUCAUGAUAGCAUGUCCAUCCCAUUUCUAUUUAGUUAAGUGUAAAUAUGUUUGAUUCAAGUGAGAAUUAGUAUUCCAGCUGUGAUGGCAAGGAGGAUGAACAGAGCUGUUGUAAAUAUGUGCAGUUCCAUCACAUCACAAGAUGAUGUUCAUAAUUCUAUCAGCUUUGGAACUGACCCUGAGUUCACCUUGAGUGUGGUUUUUGGUCUCAGGCAGCAAAAAUUUGCAAUAAUUUGGCAAUGGCUGUUAGCAUGCUUGGGGUCUCUGAAGCAUUUGUUCUUGGUCAGCAUCUAGGGAUUACAGCUAGCACGUUAACAAAAAUUUUCAAUUCAUCAAGUGCUCGCUGUUGGAGUAGGUAGUGUACCCUCAUCUUAUGUCCUAAAUGUAUUUGUUCAAUAUUUAGAGAAGCAUAUGGUACAAAAGUCUCUCCUAAUGAAGCCUAAAUUUGUCUCUCAAAUCUAUUUUGUAUAAUGCUGAUAUGCCUUUGACUUUCUCUUGAUGUUAACUAAAAUGCCUCUCAACCUACUUUGCGUAAUGCCAAUAUGCCUUUGGACAAACAAACAAUCCUUCCCAUUAAUUGUACAUGUGAACACUUGGAUGACUGGUUUAUUGCAAUAUUGAGAGAGUUCAGCUGGUUGUCUGAACCAUUUUCUCUUAAUUCCCAUAAACAAGUAUUUUCUUCCUUCUUGGCCAUGAUAUCAUCUUCUGCCAACUUGAUCUUUUCAUCCUUCAUAGGAAUGGUUCUUGCUGAUGAUCAAUAACUUUCUCUUGUUAAUCAUGGAAAACUUUCUUUGUGAAGUUUCUUAUCUUCACAAGAGUUUCAGGAAACGUUAUUAUUACUUAAUUUCUAGGAAAUUGGUUAAACGUAGGUAUCCUAGAGUUCCACUACUUUUAUAAAAAUUUGAUGUAUCAGGUGGUGCCAACCCAAAAUAGUUACCUCAAGCCUUAUCCUUUUGUUACAUUGCUUGCUUUGAGAUCUUGAGAUUGAUAUAGUAACAACAAAAGCUGACAAUUUCAGUCCUUGUGAUAUGCUUUGUCAUUGGCUUACAAGGUUACCAACCAGGCUUCCCACAUAGCAAAGACUUGACCAAAAUUAUGCUCAUUCAUGUUCAUUAUGUUAGGUGCGUUCAGUUAGAACAUCCUAUAAUACCCUUGUCCAUAAAAUACUCAGAUGUUAUUACCAAAAAGAAUGAGAUCUUAAGUGUUCUGUCCUUUCUAUGAAUUUAUUGACAUUGAUUAACCCUGGCGAAGUAGAUCUUGAACUGUUGUCUAAUUUUCACAACAUUUGAUAGUGACAGUUACAACCCAGUCCCUGGAGUAAUGGAAGGGGUGCCUUCAUCAAGGAAUUAUGAUGGCGGAUUCGCAUCUAAACUAAUGGUAUGCAAUAUGUGUUUAUGCUGGCUUUAUACAAAGUUUUAAUUGAUAAUAUUGGUCUGAUCUCUCAAAAAUUUCAUAACAAAGAACGGGCAAUACCCUCAGCUGAUGAUUAUAAUUAUAUGUAUCCUCACAUUGAUUGUCAUUACUAACAUCCAACUAGGCAUUUCUUGUUAUCAAGUAAUUUAUGUAUGUUUAAUUUACUAUGAGGUUGCUCCAUGUGUUUAAUUCUACUCAGAGAACCCAUCUUCCUAUUAGAUUGCAAUUUUUAGUGCUCAAUUUCAAUCUUACAUUGAAAAGACUGCUCCAUACGAAACUUAACAUUCAACACACCUUGUGGUGUCUCCAUUUCUCAUUCCCAGAUGAUGUUUAACCAUCAUUGAAUUUUUGAAAUAUGAAAAGGCCUUUGCAAUAUUGAUGGGAAUACUCCGUUCUAUGUAAACUUCAGUUCUGAUGAUGCAUUGAUGUGAUAUAAUAAAUUCUAGUUUCUCUCUUACUUUCUCUGAUAGUAUUGCAUAUUUUGAUCCCCCUGAUUCAUCAUUUUUCCCCUAGAAAGAAGCUUAUAGUUGCACCAAGGGUAUAGUUCCAGGCUAGAUGCAUGUUGAAAUCAAUCAGCCGAUCAUGAUACAAGAAUAAUUUUCAUACAGGCUAAAGACUUGACAUUGGCCAUGACAUCUGCAGGAGAGAUCGGUCUCAAGUGCCCCCUUACUUCUGAAGCACGUGAUAUGUGAGUUACCCUCAGAGUAAAUUUAAGUGUUUUGAGAAAAAAAGACCUCCUUGUAAUCUUCGAUAUUUUACAUUUAAUUUUGGUUUUAACACUGCUUCUAUAAACAAAUUUCUGAUUGCAGUUACAUGGAAUUGUGUGCGAAGGGCUAUGACUCUAAGGACUUCUCCUGUGUCUUCCGCCAUUUUUACUCCGGUAAGGAUGAGAGCUAGGUAGAUCUGUGGUCAUCACUGUGCACUAGUUCAUCAAACAUGCUUUGUAUAGGAUCAAAAAUGGAUAUGUAAGGAGUGAAUGUUAAAUUGUAUCCAAGUAGUUUCUCAUAAUCAUAAUCUUUUCUAGCCUUCUUUUUUCCUGAUUAUUUGAGAUUGAUUUUAUGGAUUCUCAUUCGCAAGUAUUCAUAUUUAGGAUCACCUCUGAUGUCAUUCCAAAUUUCUUCAUAUUGUUCCUUAUAAUCUCCAUCUAUAUUAAGUUAUGACUUCCUCUUUUUUACAAUCUUCAAUGUAAACUAAAGUACCUCUCCUUAUAUGAGCCUUCUCAGAUCUUUGUUGUAUAUAACCAUACAAUCUCAAUCGGUUUUCUAUCACUUUAAGUCGCCACAACUCCCAGUAUUUGUUAAUGCUCAGCAUGCAUGUACUCAGUUAUUUCAAUAUAUCAUUUAUAUAUAAUACCUUUCCUUCCUAGAGUUCGUGUAAUCACUUGUCAUCCUAUCAUCAAUUUUCUGUAAAUCAAUAAAGAUCAUAUGCACACUUGUUCCCUUUCUCUAUAUUUUUCUAUCAAUUAUGUAAACAAAAAGAUGGCUUCCCUUGUUGAUAUUUCAGGUAUAAAUCCAAGUUGGUUAUUUAAAAUAGUUAUUAUUUGUCUUAAUGUUUUUCAACUUUCCCAUUCUUAUUAUUUCAUAGUGACUCAUAAACUAUGAGUUGUAGUGAUGUAGUUUUUGCUUAAAAGAAAGAAAAAGAAUCAUGUAAGUUAGAUGAGAAACACUUUGAGCCUGGCCUCAUUUGACAUGAGGCUCAAUUAAGCUUGACCUCCCUUGGCAACAUACAACUGCCUCAAGAAAUUUUGCAUCCGACAUUAUGAAACUCAGGAACUUCCAUUAUGAAGAGGGAUCAAGGCUGCAAUAUUAUUCCUAGCAGGGAUCUUACUUUCUCGCAUGCCUCCCUUUACAUUGUUAUAUAUUAAUUACAACAUAAUUCAAAGCUCAUCAAAACUUAAGAAAAAAAGCUCGUGUCAACGAAAACCCUAAUGUAAAAUUUGCUAUUCAUUACAGUAGAUCUCUAUUUUGCCUUUCAUGAAGCGCAGGUGUGAUAAUUAAUUGAUUGGAGCUAAUUCACUGAUAUAUCAUAUCUAAAUGCAAAGGUAUCGAUAGGUAUGAAUUACAUAAUUCAUACUUAACUGGAGAAAUAAAGCUCAUGAUGUAGAAAAUCUCAACUGAAAGUUUACUAUACAUCAUAUUCUAUCACUGCUGCGUCUCUCAUCAAGCUCAGGAAUGAUGAUUAAGUGAUUGAAGCUAAUUCACCAAUUCAGCAUAUCUAAAUGCAAAGGUUGGCACCACCUGUGCUUGCUCCGAUGGUAUCAUUCCUCGUCGCUUGGACAUGUCAGCAUGGAUCGAUUUCGGUUGGAGUCGGCUCUUGACAGGUAAAAUAGGUGUAGGGUUGAAAGAGAUGGGGAUUAUAGUGAUUAACCCCUUCUGAUCAGAGAGAGAGAGAGAGAGAGGUGUUAUUAGAGUACAUGGCAAAAGCCACCCUAGAAUGGAUAUUCAAAGGCAAUCUUCCUCCACCUUGAGCUGUAUAUCUUGUUCAGAAGCCUAGAACUUCAAACUAACUUCAACUUCGAACUCAGAAUCUUCCUCCGCCUUGAGCUGUAUAUCUUGUGCCAGGGAUGACAACUGAUUUAGGGCAGGUUGGUUCGGACUUCAAACUCACGGGUAAAUAUCUCUCACCAGAACAAAAUCCAUGUAGUUUAUAUAGAACAAGAGUUGCAGGAAACUGGACUCUAUGCCGCUGCAGCUGCAUCCGUACAAUCCAACAAUUUCUCGGGCCUUUGAACAUUGGAUGUUUACCCUGUUGCAAGCAAUGAAGAAAUUAUAUCCUGC
rnacentral:lncRNA from 1 species